rnacentral:rRNA from 1 species
UACGUAGGGUGCAAGCGUUAAUCGGAAUUACUGGGCGUAAAGCGUGCGCAGGCGGUUAUGUAAGACAGGUGUUAAAUCCCUCGGCUUAACCGGGGAACUGCGUCUGAUACUGGAUGGCUUGAGGUUGGGAGAGGGAUGCGGAAUUCCAGGUGUAGCGGUGAAAUGCGUAGAUAUCUGGAGGAACACCGGUGGCGAAGGCGGCAUCCUGGACCAAUUCUGACGCUGAGGAGCGAAAGCCAGGGGAGCAAACGGG